GUUGUGCCCGGAAGCUUUGAUGGGAAGAAUACACCGAAGAAAAGUAAACUCAGACCCAAACACUGAAUGCCCAGCCUGUUCGGGGCAGGAGCUGGUGACUGUGUGCCGGAGUGAGGAGGUAUCCAGUCCUAACCUGGGGAACCAAUACCAUUUGAGUGGAGAGGCAAACACCUUUUUGCUCCUCCUCCCCUGGAUGUGGUGCUGGAUUCUGGUCCCCUGGAGAUCUAAAAUGCCCUUCCUCCCACAAUUACUACAGCUUGGCUCGUCCAAGGACAGACCCAAUUAAGGUCAACUCCAAACACAAGGCAUCUAUCCAAAUCUCAGUCAUCCUGCAAAGUCCAUUUCAGACAGCCCCUUCUCCAUGGAGAGGAUCACGAGAGCUUCCAGGUUGGGGGACACAUCAAGGAGCUAACAGAGUAACCCAUCUGGAGAGGACACGGAAGCUCCUGGACCCUCUAGCCCCGUGCCCCA